rnacentral:rRNA from 1 species
UAUGAAGUCGGAAUUGCUAGUAAUCGCAGAUCAGCAUGCUGCGGUGAAUACGUUCCCGGGCCUUGUACACACCGCCCGUCACACCAUGGGAGCCGGUAAUACCCGAAGUCAGUAGUCUAACCGCAAGGGGGACGCUGCCGAAGGUAGGAUUGGCGACUGGGGUGAAGUCGUAACAAGGUACC